AAGGGUAGGUAGGUGGUCAUGUAAGUCUGGUGUGAAAUCCCACGGCUCAACCGUGGAACUGCAUUGGAAACUGCAUGACUUGAGUACCGGAGAGGUGAGGGGAAUUCUCGGUGUAAGGGUGAAAUCUGUAGAUAUCGAGAGGAACACCAGUGGCGAAGGCGCCUCACUGGCCGGUUACUGACACUGAGCUACGAAAGCAAGGGGAGCAAACAGGAUUAGAUACCCUGGUAGUCCUUGCCGUAAACGAUGUGGAUUAGGUGUUGGGGGUGUCGAUCCCUCCAGCGCCGAAGCUAACGCAUUAAAUCCACCACCUGGGGAGUACGGUCGCAAGACUGAAACUCAAAGAAAUUGACGGGGACCCGCACAAGCGGUGGAGCAUGUGGUUUAAUUCGAGGCUACGCGAAGAACCUUACCCAGGCUUGACAUGUAGUUGCCAGCCCAUGAAAGUGGGUGUUCCCGCAAGGGACGAUUACACAGGUGCUGCAUGGCUGUCGUCAGCUCGUGCUGUGAAGUGUUGGGUUAAGUCCCGCAACGAGCGCAACCUUUGUCCUUAGUUGCCAUCAGGUAAAGCUGGGCACUCUAGGGAGACUGCCGGUGAUAAACUGGAGGAAGGAGGAGAUGACGUCAAGUCAGUAUGGCCCUUAUGCCUGGGGCUACACACGUGCUACAAUGGCCAUCACAAAGAGUCGCGAGACCGUAAGGUGGAGCAAAUCUCAAAAAAAUGGCCUCAGUUCAGAUUGAGGGCUGCAAUUCGCCCUCAUGAAGUCGGAAUCGCUAGUAACGGUAGAUCAGCUACGCUACCGUGAAUACGUUCCCGGG
rnacentral:rRNA from 1 species